CCGUGCUAGGUGGGGAGGUAGCGGUUCCCUGUACUCGAAAAUCCGCUUUAUGCGAGACUUAAUUCCUUUGUUGAGGGCGUAUUUUUGUGAAGUCUGCCCGAAGCACGUAGUGUUUGAAGAUUUCGGUCCUAUGCAAUAUGAACCCAUGAACCAUGUCAGGUCCUGACGGAAGCAGCAUUAAGUGGAUCCUCAUAUGUGCCGUAGGGUAGCCGAGAUUUAGCUGUCGACUUCGGUAACGUUUAUGAUAUGCGUUCGAUACAAAGGUGCAUGG
rnacentral:SRP_RNA from 1 species